CACAACCCCGCCCUCCAGGGGUCUAAGUAGGAGAAUCUGGUAAGCUUUCAUCACUAAGUCCCACAUAAGCUCUUCAGCGAGCUUUGCUUUUCAAAAUGCACACUCUAUUGAAUCAUUUUGGGGAGAGGAUUAUGGAGAACACAGGUCAUUACAGAAGAGCGUCAGGCUGUCCGAGCCAGGCCAAGCUGGACUGACAUUUGCUUUACAUAACCUGACAAUGAGGAAUCUGUGACAGCAGAUUCGGGGUUAGAACGUCACACACAAGUUUGAU
rnacentral:lncRNA from 1 species